UCAAUCGUCCGGGCCCCUCUGGCAACCUUCCCCGGUUGCGAUGUCGGACGCGCCGC
rfam:Skermanella aerolata KACC 11604 strain 5416T-32 contig54, whole genome shotgun sequence.